UACAGAGGGGGCAAGCGUUAUUCGGAAUUAUUGGGCGUAAAGGGCGCGUAGGCGGCUUUGCAAGUGGCGGGUGAAAUCCCUCGGCUUAACCGAGGAACUGCCUGUCAAACUGCAUGGCUUGAGACCAGGAGAGGUGAGUGGAAUUCCCAGUGUAACGGUGAAAUGCGUAAAUAUUGGGAGGAACACCAGUGGCGAAGACGGCUCACUGGACUGGUACUGACGCUGAUGCGCGAAAGCGUAAAGAGCAAACAGG
rnacentral:rRNA from 1 species